rnacentral:rRNA from 1 species
CACGGGGAGGUAGUGACAAAAAAUAACGAUACGGGACUCAUCCGAGGCCCCGUAAUCGGAAUGAGAACACCCUAAAUCCUUUAACGAGGAUCUAUUGGAGGGCAAGUCUGGUGCCAGCAGCCGCGGUAAUUCCAGCUCCAAUAGCGUAUAUUAAAGUUGUUGCGGUUAAAAAGCUCGUAGUUGGUUCUGCGUGCCACGCUGUCGGUUCACCGCCUGUCGGUGCAACUGGCAUGCCGUGGCAUGUCCUGUCGGUGGCUUCACAGGCUUCGCGGCGCGCCCUAUGCGUUUACUCGUGUAGGUAGUUGCGCCGCGUUGUUCUUGUAGGCCGGCUCAAUCCUGCCGCGGUGCUCUUUACCGAGUGUCGAGGUAGGCCGACACUGUUUACUUUGAACAAAUUAGAGUGCUUCAAGCAGGCUCUGAAAGCAGCCUGAAUAGUGGUGCAUGGAAUAAUGGAACAGGACCUUGGUUCUAUUUUGUUGGUUUUAGGAAUCCAAGGUAAUGAUCAAUAAGGACAGGCGGGGGCAUUCGUAUUGCGACGUUAGACUUGGCAAAUGCUUUCGCGGUGAAAUUCUUGGAUCGUCGCAAGACGCACUAGAGCGAAAGCAUUUGCCAAGUAUGUCUUAAUUGAUCAAGAACGAAAGUUAGAGGUUCGAAGGCGAUCAGAUACCGCCCUAGUUCUAACCAUAAACGAUGCCAGCCAGCGAUCCGCCGAUGUUCCUCCGAUGACUCGGCGGGGAGCUUUCCCCGGGAAACCAAAGCUUUUGGGUUCCGGGGGAAGUAUGGUUGCAAAGCUGAAACUUAAAGGAAUUGACGGAAGGGCACCACCAGGAGUGGAGCCUGCGGCUUAAUUUGACUCAACACGGGAAACCUCACCAGGCCCGGACAUUGGAAGGAUUGACAGAUCGAUAGCUCUUUCUCGAUUCAGUGGGUAGUGGUGCAUGGCCGUUCUUAGUUGGUGGACUGAUUUGUCUGGUUAAUUCCGAUAACGAACGAGACUCUGACCUAUUAACUAGGCGCUCCCGGUAUACAUACCUG